AGUUUGAUCAUGGCUCAGAACGUACGCUGGCGGCACGCCUAAUACAUGCAAGUCGAACGAAGUAGCAAUACUUAGUGGCGAACGGGUGAGGAUAAUAUGGGUAUCUGCCCUUUGGUUUGGAAUAACACGAGGAAACUUGUGCUAAUACUGAAUAAGCCUUUACAGGGAAAGCUUUAUGCGCCAAUGGAUGAGCCCGCACUUGAUUAGCUAGUUGGUGGGGUAAUAGCCUACCAAGGCAACGAUCAAUAGCUGAUCUGAGAGGAUGAUCAGCCACAUUGGGACUGAGACACGGCCCAAACUCCUACGGGAGGCAGCAGUGGGGAAUCUUGCACAAUGGGGGAAACCCUGAUGCAGCGAUGCCGCGUGAGUGAAGAAGGCCUUUGGGUUGUAAAGCUCUUUCGUCGGGGAAGAAAAUGACUGUACCCGAAUAAGAAGGUCCGGCUAACUUCGUGCCAGCAGCCGCGGUAAUACGAAGGGACCUAGCGUAGUUCGGAAUUACUGGGCUUAAAGAGCUCGUAGGUGGUUAGAAAAGUUAGUGGUGAAAUCCAAAGGCUUAACCUUGGAACUGCCACUAAAACUUUUAACUAGAGUGUGAUAGACGUAAGCGGAAUUUCUAGUGUAGAGGUGAAAUUCGUAGAUAUUAGAAAGAACACCAAUUGCGAAGGCAGCUUUCUGGAUCAUUACUGACACUGAGGAGCGAAAGCAUGGGUAGCGAAGAGGAUUAGAUACCCUCGUAGUCCAUGCUGUAAACGAUGUGUGCUAGACGUUGGAAAUUUAUUUUUCAGUGUCGCAGCAAAAGCGUUAAGCACACCGCCUGGGGAGUACGACCGCAAGGUUAAAACUCAAAUGAAUUGACGGGGACCCGCACAAGUAGUGGAGCAUGUGGUUUAAUUCGAAGAUACGCGCAGAACCUUACCAACACUUGACAUGUUUGUCGCGACUCUAAGAGAUUAGAGUCUUCGGUUCGGCCGGACAAAACACAGGUGCUGCAUGGCUGUCGUCAGCUCGUGUCGUGAGAUGUUGGGUUAAGUCCCGCAACGAGCGCAACCCUUACUUUUAGUUGCUACCAUUCAGUUGGGCACUCUAAAAGAACUGCCAGUGAUAAGCUGGAGGAAGGUGGGGAUGACGUCAAGUCCUCAUGGCCCUUACGUGUUGGGCUACACACGUGCUACAAUGGUACUUACAAUGAGAAGCAAAGAGGCAACUCCAAGCCAAUCUCAAAAAGGUACCUCAGUUCGGAUUGCACUCUGCAACUCGAGUGCAUGAAGCUGGAAUUGCUAGUAAUCGCGGAUCAGCGCGCCGCGGUGAAUACGUUCCCGGGUCUUGUACACACCGCCCGUCACACCAUGGAAGUUGGUUACACCUUAAGGCAAAAUGUUAACCUUCGGGAAACAUUUGACUACGGUACGAUCAGCGACUGGGGUGAAGUCGUAACAAGGUA
rnacentral:rRNA from 1 species